CAAUAGCGUAUAUUAAAGUUGUUGCAGUUAAAAAGCUCGUAGUUGGAUUUCGGAACCGGCCGAUUGGUCCGUCCUCUGGAUCGUGUACUGAUCGGUCUGUUCUUCUUCGCGAAGACCACGUGUGCCCUUAACUGGGUGGGCGUGGGAUUCGCGACGUUUACUUUGAAAAAUUAGAGUGUUCAAAGCAGGCAUUCGCUUGAAUAUCUCAGCAUGGAAUAAUAGAAUAGGACUUUGGUCUUAUUUUGUUGGUUUCCGAGACCGAAGUAAUGAUUAAUAGGGACAGUUGGGGGCGAUUCGUAUUUCUAUUGUCAGAGGUGAAAUUACUUGGAUUUAUUGAAAGAACGAACUUACUGCGAAAGACAUUUGUCCAAGGAUGUUUUCUAUUAAUACAAGAACGAAAGUUGGAGGCUCGAAGACGAUUAGAUACC
rnacentral:rRNA from 1 species